UUUUUAUUAAAAAAAGAAAAAAAAAAGUGGCUUCAGUUUAAGGCCCUUCUUUCCAGCCGGCCCCUCUCCCCCGUGUUGUGUGAACCAGCGUUGCUGUGGGCUGUCCCCAGCGACACCGCUGGGGGCCGGAGCCCCCCGAGCUGUGGAGAAACGCGCGCUUGUUCGCAACACGGCACCUGAAGCGAUGUGCAGUGGGACCGGCAACGUCAACGCGCUCGUGGUUGGUUACUGGCGCGUUCUUGAACGAGGCAGAUUCCUGCAGUCAAAAUGCUUCGGUGCGAAGAGAGCUCAGCAGCUGGGUUUACAGACGGGGGAAUUCACUGAGCUCCGUUUUUGAAGGGAUUUCUCUUCAGAAAGUUACUUUAUACCAGGUUCGGGAUAUAGAAGGAAACCUGAGACGGUCUCUGAAGAGCUUGACAGUUAUAUCUGUGUCUCCUGAUGCACCACCGUGGCAGUUGGUGUUGACAGUAUUUCCCAGUGAAGCUGACAUGAUGGUACAUGCAAUUUCUCCUGCUCCACACUGACAUGAUGCUGACUGGUCAAUGAACAACUCUUCACAGUCCUGAUAGACCACAACACUUUGUCAUGUAAUAUAUUGGUAAUUUAUCUUUCCGUCUGUCUAUACAGUGGAACAAAAGUUGUUUUGAACGUUGAAGUUACAUAUUUUUGUUGUUGUGAUAAACCAUUCUAAAAAAAUAUCUUAAAUGGCUAAUCUUCAUGAAACCCCAGGUGAAAUACUUAGUUGGCUGCUUAUGUUCAUGCAAAACGUCGAAAAUACAGGGCUGAAUAUGUGCCUUGGUUUUUGGUGUAUUUUUUUUUCCUUUCACAAAAUGUACAUCUUUACAUCUAUACAGUACAUCCCGGGGCAGUGUGUACAACUUAUUUCAUUAAUGCAUGAAUAUCUCUGAGCUCCUCAGGUGGAAGCUGGGGGCAAACUAUUGUAAUUAGCUGGAUUCUAAGCUGCACACCUACCCUUCCGGUGGUAAACUAAACCUAUGCUCUAGUCCUAAUUCCAGUUGAAAGGUGAGACUGUAAUGUUUAUGUGCUAUCCUAAAUCUCC
rnacentral:lncRNA from 1 species